rfam:Neomicrococcus aestuarii strain B18, complete genome.
GGGGAUGAUCGGUUUCGACGAUGUGAGUUGAGACAGGUGAAGCGGGCCGAGGAUGCAGGGUUAUCUCGUAAACGCUCUCUGUAAACCAAUAAGUGCCGAAUCUAAGCGCACUGACUUCGCUCUCGCUGCCUAAGCAGCCAGACGGUCCGUUAGCCCGAGUUUGCUAUUGACUCGGAAUCUAACGUCAUUUAGAUAGCCACUGCUGAACGUUCUUGUCGCUGGAACGUUCGGGACUUUUAGGCGACUGUGCCCAGGGGAACCGCAAGGUCGAACUGCUUGUUUGUAAGACAGUUCAUGGGGCAGAGAAAUUUCCAGCGCAAACUGCGCCCGGAGAAGCCCUGACAAAGCCACAUCGGACGCGGGUUCAAUUCCCGCCAUCUCCACAG